rnacentral:tRNA from 3 species
GCCCGGGUGCUGUAACCGGUAGCCAGAAUUGACUUAAAAUCAAUUGGGAUUUUUCCCGUGUGGGUUCGAGUCCCACCCCGGGCA